CGGACGGGUGAGUAACGCGUGAGAAUCUGGCUCCAGGUCGGGGAUAACAGUUGGAAACGACUGCUAAUACCGGAUGUGCCGAGAGGUGAAAGAUUUAUCGCCUGGAGAUGAGCUCGCGUCUGAUUAGCUAGUUGGCGGUGUAAGGGACCACCAAGGCGUCGAUCAGUAGCUGGUCUGAGAGGAUGAUCAGCCACACUGGGACUGAGACACGGCCCAGACUCCUACGGGAGGCAGCAGUGGGGAAUUUUCCGCAAUGGGCGAAAGCCUGACGGAGCAAUACCGCGUGAGGGAGGAAGGCUCUUGGGUCGUAAACCUCUUUUCUCAAGGAAGAAGAAAGUGACGGUACUUGAGGAAUAAGCAUCGGCUAACUCCGUGCCAGCAGCCGCGGUAAUACGGAGGAUGCAAGCGUUAUCCGGAAUGAUUGGGCGUAAAGGGUCUGCAGGUGGAACUGAAAGUCUGCUGUUAAAGAGUUUGGCUUAACCAAAUAAAAGCGGUGGAAACUACAGAACUAGAGUGCGGUAGGGGCAAAAGGAAUUCCUGGUGUAGCGGUGAAAUGCGUAGAUAUCACGAAGAACACCGGUGGCGAAAGCGUUUUGCUAGACCGUAACUGACACUGAGGGACGAAAGCUAGGGGAGCGAAUGGGAUUAGAUACCCCUGUAGUC
rnacentral:rRNA from 1 species